UACGGGGGGGGCAAGCGUUGUUCGGAUUUACUGGGCGUAAAGGGCGCGCAGGCGGUCCUGUUUGUCGAGUGUGAAAGCCCCGGGCUCAACCUGGAAUGGCGCUCGAAACGGCGGGACUAGAGAUCGGGAGAGGAGCGUGGAAUUCCCAGUGUAGAGGUGAAAUUCGUAGAUAUUGGGAAGAACACCGGUGGCGAAGGCGGCGCUCUGGACCGAGACUGACGCUGAGGCGCGAAAGCGUGGGGAGCAAACAGG
rnacentral:rRNA from 1 species